GGCGUGGACACCGCCCUGCCACUCUCCGGGACGCCCAAUAGAAAAUGGGCAGCAGGCAAGGUGGGUGGCCCGGCCUCCCGCCGCAGCCGCCCAGUGUAGGGCGGGUCCAGCCAUGGCCCUUUAGUGAGGUCCCUGCGAGCCCGGCUCGGCCGAAGUGAGAGGGCGCACCGCACGUCAGUCAGAUGACCCGGCCAAUGGGCAUGCGCGCUGCCCUGAUGCCCGCCUCCACCUCGGCUUCCCGGCGCCAGCGCUGUCUUCCCUCAGGCCACCUCGGCCCGCCCGCCAGUGCCUCCAUCCGGGUCUCCGCGCGCGGAUCUCGUGCUGCAGCGGCUGCCUGGCGCGGGGCGCGAGGGCUGGAGUGUCUCCGCGGCGGCCGGCGACUACCGGCGCCUUUCUCCGUGAGCCUGAGGGGAACCAGGAUCACCAAGGAGAGAGCCUUCCUGUGGUACUCAGCUGUGGUCCCUUUUCAACAUUCACCCUGGACAUUCUCUUCACUGUGGGAUGAGGUAGUAGGUUGUAUAGUUUUAGGGUCACACCCACCACUGGGAGAUAACUAUACAAUCUACUGUCUUUCCUAAGGUGAUAGAAAAAUCUGCAUCUCAGCGGCCUCAUAGAAAGUAACUUACUGUGCAAUAUUUAAGGUUAACUUGCAUAAAAAUUCUGUAGGUGCAGAAUUUCUUCUGGUUUGCACGUUGCUUUUCUUAGAACCCAAAAAUACUGGCAAGUAGACUGGAUGGGGCAAAGAUACUUUCUGCUUCUCAUUUCUGAAUCUCAGAGUAAGUGUGUAUUUUAUUUUGAUUGAUGCUGCUAAUUUUAUGUUGCAUUUUUCUUUUGAGAAAGAUUGUGUUAUCCUUCCAGAAGAAGUUUGCUCUGUCAGAGUGAGGUAGUAGAUUGUAUAGUUGUGGGGUAGUGGUUUUACCCUGUUCUGGAGAUAACUAUACAGUCUAUUGCCUUCCCUGAUGGGUGGACUUGCUGCCUUUUUUUUUCUCUGGAUGAUAGUAAAACUCCGAAGAAUUAAUUUUGACCUUGUUCUGUAUUUAAUUUAUGUCAGUUGCUAAUUUUCUGUGUUCAAGUACAGUGGACACAGCAAUCCAGGUAACAUUCUUACUUUUCACAUACAGUAUGUUUCAGAAAUUUGGAAUUAAAAAUCUCAGAGCAGAGAACUUAAGUGUCUCAGGAAAUCUUAAUAGGGGACCAUGCCCUUUUGGAAUUUUAAAUAGGUUAAUCACCAUAUAUCCUUCACAUGUCCAGGGUGAGGCCCUGGGUAGUAAAGGUAAAUAGACACUGGAAAGAUACUGAGCUAAAAUGGAGUCAGGUUGAUUAUGAGUCAUUCCCUGGUUUGGGUUUUUGGGUCACCUUGGGCAGUGUUGUACCACUGCUUCAUUGGUGUGUUGAUGGGCCCAGCCCAGGUGAUAGAUCUGGGCCAAAUUUAUGCUUUUUAUUUUAUUCCUGGUAUAUAGAUGGACACCCGCAUGGUCCAGAUUUGGUCUUUGUUAAAAUUGGACAUACAAAUAUUGGGGGGAAUCUUACAUUCUUUGGCUUAAUCUUAAACUGACAAGUUGCACAGCUCACCUGCUCAUUGUGUGACAAGUGUAGUCAUGGAGCUCUGGUUUUCUGACAUGGGCUGCCUUCAAGUGUGGGUAUCAUCACCACUUCACAGUGGGAAACUUAUCCUUAUCUAAUUACUAAGGUGGUGGAGAAAAAUAAAUGCAUAGCUUUUAUUAAGGACAGAAGGAACCUUUUGUACCCUUGCCAGCCAUGGUCAGUAAGUGAAUCAUAUAGUAGAGAACAGCUACAUUUUAUAAAAACUCUUAAAGUACCUUUAUGGAGAAUGACAGUCUCCAAAGCUUGUUUUUGAUGGUGACAAAAAUUAUGAUCAGCUUUUGUUUCUGUUGGCCGUAAUUCAGGGGGAAAAAACAAAUGCCUGGGAAGGGCCUGUGGUACCUAGGAAACACAUGGCACCUAAAGGAGACAGGCAGGAAAUUAAUUUGUCCCAGUUGAUACUGGCAAGCAGGAUUUAUACAUAGUGUCACCUAGUUUUCCAGUGUUAUCAAGGGAGGCUGGAGAUUUUAUGGGUUUUGAGCUUUAAAUUUUGGUAACACACUAAAAAUUUAGAAGUCUGUGGCUCGAAUAUGUGAUGGGCUGGUGGUAGGCCUCUAGGUUUGCAUCUUCUGGUGCAAUUGAACUUGUUCCUUUGUAACAAGGUUUGCUUUUAAGCAAAUAUAUUUGUGUUUUUUACCAAGGUUGGAUGGCCAGUCGCUUUUUAAAAGCACCUAUGAAAGAAUUCUAAUUUGAAUUUGAAAUAAAACUUGAAGACUAUGGCCUGUUUUAACAGGUUAAUUUGAAGUGCAUCUGCCAAGUAGAAGAACAGCCAAGAAAAGAAAUGGGUUCCUAGGAAGAGGUAGUAGGUUGCAUAGUUUUAGGGCAGGGAUUUUGCCCACAAGGAGGUAACUAUACGACCUGCUGCCUUUCUUAGGGCCUUACUAUUCCACGGUCACCUGUUUCCUUGCUCCCGUGCUUUGGUGUAAGCAGAGUUCCUUCUGCAGGUUUUCUCAUAACUGAAAACGUUGCAGGAAUGCCAAAGGAAGCAGUGCUUGCAUUAGUGAUUUAUAGACAACAGAUGGUAACAACAGCAAUUAUUAAAAGUCACCUAAGGAGAAUGGAGGACUGGUGUAUGCCUAGUUGCCUAUGUUCACUUGAGGUUGUUGGAAAAUUUUGGAAAGCGUAGGUUUUUUGUUUUUGGUUCAAGUUCCAGUUCCUGAUUUACAGAUUGCCAGCUGUUUCUCCCUUUGUAGCCUCUAUUAAACCUCAGAGAAGGCAUUUAACAAAGCUAUUGAAAUAUUUGCUGUUCCCUAUACUGUAUUUGUAAAUAUUUAUCUUGCUAAGUUUCUGGGUUUCUGUCUUCUGGACUUAAAAUUUGGGUCACUUCUUAGGGCGGUUCUGCAUAUUGUGUGAUCCAUCAUCGCCUUGUGUGCAAUCCUGGGAUUGAAUCUGUUAAAUGUGUACAAGGGCUGCAUAGUGAAGUCAAUAUAAUUUGUUAAAUGCCUUUUCGGUAAAAACACUUGAACUUUAAAACUUGGGCUUUUAAAAUUCUUCCACCUCCAUCCCUGCAGAACUACAUAUAUAUAUAUAUUUUAAUGUAUGAGUGUUUAGACUUGCUUUAAGAUCUGUGAAAAUGCUUAAUGUUAUUUCUAAUUCGGAGUAACCUGCUGAUUAUAUUAUUCACAAAUGUAUAUUAAUUACUAAAACUAACAUAAGCCAUAUCUUGCUCUUCUGUUUUUGUAAAUGCUUGUGUGUCUUUGUACAGUCCUACUUUUUGGAAUGAUUCUUAUUCUUUGAAUCGCUUAAGCAGACACUACCUUGCAAAAACUGGCUGCAAUUCCCCAGUCUGGUUCAUUUACUGAGCCUGCGAUGUGUGUACCUUAGCAUCCCAUGGGUAGAUUUAUUUCAGAAUAUUUUGAGCAGUAAUAUAUUUAAAGGGCUCCAGAGUGGAAGGGUUGAAAAGGAAUUCAGUGAAAUUUCCCACCUAUCCUCUACUGCUUAGAGACUCUUCCACUGGGAGGAAGGUUGGGAAGUGAGCUCUAGGCAUGUUCUACACCUCUGAUCAAUUGGGGCUUUAAAUUUCCUCUCUAAGUGGAGGUGGUUGGGUGUGGCUUCCAAGAUACUUUUUAUAUUUUGCAGUCCUUUAAAAUUAAAGAUUUCAGUUGAGUGACAAAA